rnacentral:rRNA from 1 species
CGGAGGAUCAUUAAAGAGACGUUGCCCUUCGGGGUCGACCUCCCACCCUAUGUUUAUCAUACCUCUGUUGCUUUGGCAGGCCCGUCCUCGGACCGCCGGCUCCGGCGGCCCGUGCCUGCCAGGGAACCUAAAACUCUGUUUGUUAAUGCAGUCUGAGUACUAUAUAAUAGUUAAAACUUUCAACAACGGAUCUCUUGGUUCUGGCAUCGAUGAAGAACGCAGCGAAAUGCGAUAAGUAAUGUGAAUUGCAGAAUUCAGUGAAUCAUCGAAUCUUUGAACGCACAUUGCGCCCCCUGGUAUUCCGGGGGGCAUGCCUGUUCGAGCGUCAUUACAACCCUCAAGCUCUGCUUGGUAUUGGGCCCCGCCGGUUCCGGCGGGCCCUAAAGUCAGUGGCGGUGCCAUCCGGCUCCGAGCGUAGUAAUUCUUCUCGCUCUGGAGACCCGGCUGUGUGCUUGCCAGCAACCCCAAUUUAAGGUUGACCUCGGAUCAGGUAGGGAUACCCGCUGAACUUAA